GAGGAAGUUGUUGUUGAGGCUGAGGAAGUAACUGGUAUUCAGGUUGAUGAAGAUGAUGUUCAGAGGACAGAGGCAGCUGAAGUUGAACUUCAGACUCCUAGUAUUGAGGUUAAUAGGGCAGAGGAAGUAUAUGGUAUUCAGGUUGAUAGGGCAGAGGAAGUACAUGGUAUUGAGGUUCAGGCUGAUAGUGUUGAGGUUGAUAGGGUAGAAGCAU
rnacentral:lncRNA from 1 species